AAAUGCGAUAAUUAAUGUGAAUUGCAGAAUUCAGUGAAUCAUCGAGUCUUUGAACGCACAUUGCGCCCCCUGGUAUUCCGGGGGGGCAUGCCUGUCCGAGCGUCAUUGCUGCCCUCAAGCACGGCUUGUGUGUUGGGCUUCCGUCCCUGGCAACGGGGACGGGCCCAAAAGGCAGUGGCGGCACCAUGUCUGGUCCUCGAGCGUAUGGGGCUUUGUCACCCGCUCCCGUAGGUCCAGCUGGCAGCUAGCCUCGCAACCAAUCUUUUUAACCAGGUUGACCUCGGAUCAGGUAGGGAUACCCGCUGAACUUAAGC
rnacentral:misc_RNA from 1 species